rnacentral:rRNA from 1 species
AUUGAACGCUGGCGGCAGGCUUAACACAUGCAAGUCGAGCGAGCGGCGGACGGGUGAGUAAUGUCUGGGAAACUGCCUGCUGGAGGGGGAUAACUACUGGAAACGGUAGCUAAUCCCGCAUACCAUCAGAAGUGCCCAGAUGGGAUUAGCUAGUAGGUGGGGUAAUGGCUCACCUAGGCGACGAUCCCUAGCUGGUCUGAGAGGAUGACCAGCCGCACUGGAACGGGGACAGGGUCAAGACGCCUACGUGAGGCAGCAGUGGGGAAUAUGGGACAAUGGGGGCAAGUCUGAUGCAGCCAGGCCGCGUGUGUUAAGAAGGCCUUCGGGGUGUAAAGCACGUUCAGCGAGGAGGCGUUACUCGCAGAAGAAGCACCGGCUAACUCCGUGCCAGCAGCCGCGGUAAUAC